UACAGAGACUGCAAGCGUUAUCCGGAUUCACUGGGUUUAAAGGGUGCGUAGGUGGGUUGGUAAGUCAGUGGUGAAAUCCCCGAGCUUAACUUGGGAACUGCCAUUGAUACUAUCAAUCUUGAAUACUGUGGAGGUCAGCGGAAUAUGUCAUGUAGCGGUGAAAUGCUUAGAUAUGACAUAGAACACCAAUUGCGAAGGCAGCUGGCUACACAAAUAUUGACACUGAGGCACGAAAGCGUGGGGAUCAAACAGG
rnacentral:rRNA from 1 species